rnacentral:rRNA from 1 species
CAGUCGCCACGGUAAUACGGAGGGAGCUAGCGUUGUUCGGAAUUACUGGGCGUAAAGCGCACGUAGGCGGUUAUUCAAGUCAGAGGUGAAAGCCCAGUGCUCAACACUGGAACUGCCUUUGAAACUAGAUAACUUGAAUCCAGGAGAGGUGAGUGGAAUUCCGAGUGUAGAGGUGAAAUUCGUAGAUAUUCGGAAGAACACCAGUGGCGAAGGCGGCUCACUGGACUGGUAUUGACGCUGAGGUGCGAAAGCGUGGGGAGCAAACAGGAUUAGAUACCCGGGUAGUCCCUGUCUCUUAUAC